UCCUACGGGGGGCAGCAGUGGGGGAUAUUGGACAAUGGGGGAAACCCUGAUCCAGCGACGCCGCGUGAGUGAAGAAGUAUUUCGGUAUGUAAAGCUCUAUCAGCAGGGAAGAAAGAAAUGACGGUACCUGAGUAAGAAGCCCCGGCUAACUACGUGCCAGCAGCCGCGGUAAUACGUAGGGGGCAAGCGUUAUCCGGAAUUACUGGGUGUAAAGGGAGCGCAGGCGGUGCGGCAAGUCUGAUGUGAAAGCCCGGGGCUCAACCCCGGGACGGCAUUGGAAACUACCGAACUAGAGUGUCGGAGAG
rnacentral:rRNA from 1 species